rnacentral:rRNA from 3 species
UUACUGGGCGUAAAGCGCACGCAGGCGGUCUGUCAAGUCGGAUGUGAAAUCCCCGGGCUCAACCUGGGAACUGCAUUCGAAACUGGCAGGCUUGAGUCUUGUAGAGGGGGGUAGAAUUCCAGGUGUAGCGGUGAAAUGCGUAGAGAUCUGGAGGAAUACCGGUGGCGAAGGCGGCCCCCUGGACAAAGACUGACGCUCAGGUGCGAAAGCGUGGGGAGCAAACAGGAUUAGAUACCCUGGUAGUCCACGCCGUAAACGAUGUCUACUUGGAGGUUGUGCCCUUGAGGCGUGGCUUCCGGAGCUAACGCGUUAAGUAGACCGCCUGGGGAGUACGGCCGCAAGGUUAAAACUCAAAUGAAUUGACGGGGGCCCGCACAAGCGGUGGAGCAUGUGGUUUAAUUCGAUGCAACGCGAAGAACCUUAC